ensembl:lncRNA
UUUACUCAUCUGUUCAGGAGCUCAUGCUAAUACUGUUACUUGACUCAAAACAAAGAACAUAACACUACGCAAGACAGAAAUCCCCAAAACAACGGUCUGCAGUACUGAAACUUCACAGGUCGUUGAAAGAAUCCUCUCAACAGAAAGUUUCUUCUGUUCUUGAUGGGAGUCUCCCACGUUAGUCUAUAGAGAUGUUAGUGUAAUAAAAAGCAAGGUAUUUUAAAGCCUACCUCCCAAAACAGUCUUAAAAUAAAACUGUUGAUAAUAAAAUAAAUAAAAACAACAAUUUAGCCUGUAGAACUUUAGGCUAGUAUUACUGGACAAAAUGUCAAAGUUCAAUUUUAAUAGAUUGGGUGUUUUAUUUGCUAAAAUCACAGAACACUACAGGCGCUUAUUAGAGAUUUUAUUUUUUAUUUAAUGCACACAGCUUCUGCUAAUUUGCAUAGUUUAAUUCCAGGAUUCACUUCCAUCAUUUUAAUAUAUGUCUUAAUUUUCUGCACUAUUUACACACUAUUCACAAUUCUUUUGUCUUAGUAUGCCUACAUUUUUGUAUUUAUUAUUCUCUUUGACUGUGCCUUUUCAGCUGUUCUUAUUUUCACCACUAGAGGGCGAUCUGACCAUUUCUAGGGGUCUGCACUCCCAAAGUUGAUUACUGUUUUUGUGCUUGCCAGUUAGCUAGCAGUUGUCAGCGUUUAGCAGCCAAUGCUAGCAGUUUCUUACUGGCAAUAAAAAUGGAUGAUUGACAUUUUUUUUUGAGUCAUUAUUGAAUUAAUUGAAUAUUUAAAAAAUAAAUAGAAUAUUAAACCUCAAACAAUUCAUGGUAACCUCGUAAACAAUUAAUGUAGUGCCGCCUAUUCUUGGGAACCGCUCUCCUCUUCUGCCUGUGUUGCUCCGCUAGCGUGAUCAAGAUCUCUAACUCCCAGGGGCGCCAGCAUGAGGAGAUUCCCACAGCAAAGCGCUAUGUCUGGAGAAAAUGAGGCAAAACUCAUCACCCGUCUAACACAUUCCUACCGUGAAGCACGGAGGUGGCAUCAUUAUGCUAUUGGGAUGCUUUUCAGCAGCAGAGAUUGGGAGACUGAUGAGGAUAGAGAGGACAAGGAAUGGAGCCAAAUACAGGCAAAUCCUUAAUGAGAACUGUGCAAACGACCUUAGAAGACAAUGACCCCAAGCACACAGCCAAAGCAAUGCUGGAAUGGCUUCAGAACAAGAAUGUGAAAGUCCUUGAGUGGCCCAGCCAAAGCCCAGACAUGAAUCUCAUUGAAAAUCUGUCGAAAGACUUGAAUAUUGUCGAUUUUAACAGAGCUUGAGAAAUUCUGCAAGGAAGAAUGGGAGAAAAUCCCCAAAUCCAGAUUUGCAAAGCUGAUACAGACAUACUCAAGAUGACUCUAAGCUGUUAUCGCUGCCAAAGGUGCUUCUACGAAGUAUUGACUCAGGC